GGCCCAGUGGUCUAGUCGUAUGAUUCUCGCUUCGGGUACUCAUCCCAGUUCAUCAGAGCUGACAAGAUGCGAGAGGUCCCGGGUUCAAUUCCCGGCUGAGCCC